UACGAAGGGUGCAAACGUUGCUCGGAAUUAUUGGGCGUAAAGGGCGCGUAGGCGGCCAUGCGUGUCUUUCGUGAAAUCCCUCGGCUUAACUGAGGACGUGCGGAAGAAACUGCAAGGCUUGAGUCCGGGAGAGGGGGGUGGAAUUCCCAGUGUAGCGGUGAAAUGCGUAGAUAUUGGGAGGAACACCGGUGGCGAAGGCGGCCCCCUGGACCGGUACUGACGCUGAGGCGCGAAAGCGUGGGUAGCAAACGGG
rnacentral:rRNA from 1 species